CGCAAGCAUUCCAGUCUGUAUGGGGUUCAGCUUCUUAUUACUAAAUGUCUGUAAUCCAUGCCUUGGCUGGUGGGAGUAUCCUGGCAGAAAAAGGCUGCAAACACUGUUUGGGCCGAAAAGGGUUAAACUUGGCUGCAGAUUGAGACAGGAUGCAGUGAGCGAUGUCUGACUGCUGCAGGGGGGUAUAAAGGGCUGAACACAUGACGAAGUGCUACAACAGGCACUCCAGAACUUUGACUGUUACCGUGGUAACCACUGACGUCACACCCACUAGCAAUUAGCUUCCAGAUCUCUAUUUGUGAUGAUAGCAG